UGACAGGUGGUGCAUGGUUGUCGUCAGCUCGUGUCGUGAGAUGUUGGGUUAAGUCCCGCAACGAGCGCAACCCUUGUCAUUAGUUGCUACGAAAGGGCACUCUAAUGAGACUGCCGGUGACAAACCGGAGGAAGGUGGGGAUGACGUCAAGUCCUCAUGGCCCUUAUAGGUGGGGCUACACACGUCAUACAAUGGCUGGUACAAAGGGUUGCCAACCCGCGAGGGGGAGCCAAUCCCAUAAAGCCAGUCGUAGUCCGGAUCGCAGUCUGCAACUCGACUGCGUGAAGUCGGAAUCGCUAGUAAUCGUGGAUCAGCAUGUCACGGUGAAUACGUUCCCGGGUCUU
rnacentral:rRNA from 1 species